GUGAAUAAUAUAAAAUUCAUUGUGUGUGUGUGUGUGUGUGUAUGAUAUUGGAAACACAGUGAAAGUUGUUGGAUAAUAGAGUGGUUAGGGGACAUGGAAAGAAACAGGAAUAGAGAGCAUUAAAUUUUAGUAAAAUAUAUGUCUGGAAAAUUAAUGGCAGAAAUGUAUAACACAUUCUCUUUCGGGGUGGAUAUUAAUAAGAGGAGAGGGGGUGAAUGGAGAGUACGAAGGAGGACAAUUGUAAUCAAAGAACUUUAUAUACAUGCAUGAAAAUAGAACAAUGAAACCUGUUGAAAUUGUUUUAAGAAGAAGGAUGAGAUCAGGAGAUAUUGUAUGCAUACAUGGAAAUACCACAAUGAAAAUCUCUUCUUCCACCAAUAUAUGUUUCUAAAAAGCUGGUAAAAUACAUGCAAUACAUAAUUUACCAUCCUAACCAUUUUGUGGUUCAGUUGCAUUAAGUAUGUUUGCAGUAUUAUGCAGAUACAGGACUCCUGGCCAAAUUGAACCUGUCCCAUUAAAUAACAACUCUUCAUUUUCUCUUUGCCCCAGCUUAUUGUGCAUCUGGACUGACUGUAAGUGCUGCCAUACAGUAUUAUCUUUUGUGACAUGCUUUUAUAAUGUCCUCAAAGUCGCCCAGGUCAUAGCAAUUGACAGAAUUUCUUUCCCUUUUAAGACUGAAUACUAUUACAUUGUAUGCAUACAUAACUUUUUUCAUGUAUUUGUUGACAGACACUUGGACUUUCACAAAUGAUGCUGCCCCAUUACAAUAGCUGUACGUGUACCUCCACAAGUCCCUACUAUUCUUUUGGGUAUAUUCCUGGUCUACAUUAAUCUUGAUCACUUGGGUGUUGGGGUAUGUGUUGAAUGGUGAGCCAGAUAAUUGAUGAAUCCUUACCCAGACUACAAACCUCUUGCUUUCCCCAAACCCACCUUCCAGGUUAUGUAAAUGUAUGAAAUCAUGUAAAUUUCAGGACAGCACUUUAGAGAUGUCCCUUGAAUUCUUGCCUGAGAUCUGCGAUAAAUUAGAACCUAGAUUCUUCCUUAGCCUCGGUCUCUUUUAGCAUUAGAUAUGGCCUGUUGUGGCACUCAACAUAGUUCCCUCAUUGUCGCCUGCCUUUGGGGUCCCAUUGGUUCUCCUAGGGAAGUUUCAGAACAUGACGAGAGAAGGCUGCUGGGAAUCUGCGUCCUCAGGUCACCCAUGGAGUUACCACGAUAGGUGUACAUCCUCAUUGCCUUUGUCCAUGUCCAGCUGAGGUCCUCUUCCCUUUACUCACUGGAUGGAGCAGACGGACUUUCCACUCACGUGUUCACUAAAAUAUAGGCCAUAUAGGAUGUGGGGAAUGUUCCCUCCAGAGUUUUCUUUGGGAUCAGAGUUUCCUUGGGAGUCCUGCCACAUCCUGCCUGAGAUCACUCUUGCCCAUAGAGGUAUCAAAGGAUGCUCUUUUUUGGGGAGGAAGUUCUGGAUCCUAGGUUAUGAUCUUCAUCCUCUGAUGAGGGCAGCCUCUAAGCGAGAAAUAACAAAGAUGGCAUAGGUGGGCUCCACAUAGGAUUUCAGGGAGACAAUGUUCAGGUGCUGGGCAUGUAGUGAUGUAGCAGCACCCAGACAGGAUGAGCUUUGGUGCUAAGUUCUGGUAGAGUAUCCCAUGCUAGGAAGUUAAGAAGUGGUCAAAAAGAGGUAUGAAGGCCAAGGGUUGCCUACUUUUGCUUUUCUAUCCAUAAAAGAGACCAUGAUUUAUGCAAGCAACAGGGUUUGGAGCAGGCCUGAAGUUGGCAUUGAUAAAACAUUUGCUCUAAUUUAUUGUCUUUUCAUGUGUGUUUCUGAAAGAACCAUUUGCAGGUGAUUUAUAUUCUACACUCAUUAUUUACUUAACAGGCUUUAUGAAUUCAUCUAUUCCACACUAUUGAGAAGCUUACCUUUGUGUUUGUGGGAAGUGCAGCCUGAGUUAUUGUCUGAAUAAAUCACAUUAAAUUUA